rnacentral:rRNA from 1 species
UACAGAGGUGGCAAGCGUUGUUCGGAAUUACUGGGCGUAAAGGGCGCGUAGGCGGCCUCGUAAGUCCUGUGUGAAAUCCCCCGGCUCAACCGGGGAACUGCACAGGAAACUGCGGGGCUUGAGUUCGGGAGAGGGAAGCGGAAUUCCGGGUGUAGCGGUGAAAUGCGUAGAUAUCCGGAGGAACACCGGUGGCGAAGGCGGCUUCCUGGACCGACACUGACGCUGAGGCGCGAAAGCCAGGGGAG